UCCGUAGGUGAACCUGCGGAAGGAUCAUUGUCGAAACCUGCAUGGCAGAACGACCCGCGAACGUGUUAUCAACGAACAAUGGGAGGGGGUACGGAGGCAUCCGUCCCCUCCUCGCCCCGGGGCCCUCUGUCGCUGCCUCCCCGAUACCGCACGGUUCCGUGGGAGGCACGGCCUCGUGCCUCCGAGGCCAAACGAACAACCCCCGGCGUGAAUCACGCCAAGGAAUCGGAAUGAAAGGAUGCACUCCCUCGUCGCCGCCCCGUUCGCGGCCCGCGCGCGGCAGGGAAGCUGCGACUUCGUCGUUAAUAAACAGAACGACUCUCGGCAACGGAUAUCUCGGCUCUCGCAUCGAUGAAGAACGUAGCGAAAUGCGAUACUUGGUGUGAAUUGCAGAAUCCCGUGAACCAUCGAGUCUUUGAACGCAAGUUGCGCCCCAAGCCAUUAGGCCGAGGGCACGUCUGCCUGGGUGUCACGCAUCGUUGCUCCCACACAACCCUUACCCACCGGGGAAUCGGUUGACGUGUGGGCGGACAAUGGCCUCCCGUGCGCACACCGCUCUCGGUUGGCCUAAAAUCGAGUCAUCGGCGACCACGGUGCCACGACGAUCGGUGGUGACGCUUCGAGCUCCCUCGUUCCGAGUCGUGUGCCCCCGUCGAUCCGGACUCUUUGACCCCUUCGGCAUCGCAAGCACGGUGCCCGCAUCGCGACCCCAGGUCAGGCGGGAUUACCCGCUGAGUUUA
rnacentral:rRNA from 1 species